rnacentral:lncRNA from 1 species
CCCUCCUUUCUGAGCAGUAUUUUCCUGCUCCCUUCUGCGGUCGGCUCCUCUUCGCUGCCCAUGUUAAUGUUUGUGUGAACGUGCAGGGAGCUCUCUGCUGCCCUGCAGGCUGGGGUUUGCCCUGCUGCCCGCUCUUACAGUUACACGCGCACACUGCGCGCAUACACACACACACGGGUGCUGUGGCGGGCGUUGCUGCACAGGGCGGCCGUGCUGCAGGUCGCGCUCCUCCGGGCUGCGCACCUCCGGGCUCCGUCCACCCAUAGCGCGUCUGACAGCUCCUCUGAGCCUUCGCAGCCCGCUUUCUGACCGCUUUUCCACUCGGUGGCGUGGGAACGGGAUCCCGUUUUCAUUGCGUCACGCUGAUCCCUGACGAACGCUUUCCACAACCUCAGCCUCCGCCUUAGCUCUAAACUGCAGGCCAGGCUUCUGCGCCUCUCCUCCUCCUGGGCCAUCCCUUUCCUGUCUCACAGGGGCGGGCGGGGCUGUUUGUUCCUUUGGUUGGCUGGGAUAUUUUUGGUAUAGGGAACUGCUGGCAGGCCUUCACGCUGUGUGACACAAUCAGCCCUUUUUUUGUUUAUUUUGAGACAGGUUCUCCCCCAGACGCUAAAUUGCCCAGGCUGGGCUUGAACUUACAAUCCCCCCUGCCUCAGCCUCCCAGAGGGCUGGGGUCACAGGCGUGCAUCCCCACACCCGGCCACCUGUCCGCAGCUCACCUCGAGUCUCUGUCCCCAGGCUGGAGGCUGCGGGCUCAUGAAGCUGGCCUGCCCGGGCGUGGCCGUCUCCCUGGGGAGCAGCCGGACGCUGACGCACCUGAGCCUGGCGGGCAAUGCCCUGAAGGAUGAAGGGGCGAGGCACAUCUGGGAGAGCCUGGCAAGCGCGGCGCUGCCCCUCCAGAGGCUGGUGUGAGUCCCCAGGUGCCUCCCCUUGAGGCUCGGCGUGCGGGGAGCAGUGCCGAGCACACCUGCUUCGUGUUCUAGUCUGUGGCACACGUGUGACCCACAGAGGCCUAUUGGAGCCAUGCUUGUGCCAGGGGACAGCAGUCAGGAAAAGGGUGUUAUUUCCACUGAAGAGGCAGGUUAGCGGGGCCCAGGCACCCAGGGCCCUGCAGAUGCGCAGGACGGCGACAUCUGCUCAUCACAAGAGCCGGGCGGGGGCUCAGGGUCAGUGUCCAGGUCACGCUGCCUUCCUCCUGGGGAGGUCUCACUUGGCUGUCACGGGAGGAAGUUCAGCACAGAAUUAAAUACGGAGCCAGGCAUGGUGGUGCACGCCUGUGACCCCAGCACUCUGGGAGGCUGCAGGCGCCUGAGCGGGAAGGGGCAGGGAGACCUUGGAGCCUCCUGCCAGACGGAC